rnacentral:rRNA from 1 species
UGGGGAAUAUUGCACAAUGGGCGCAAGCCUGAUGCAGCCAUGCCGCGUGUGUGAAGAAGGCCUUCGGGUUGUAAAGCACUUUCAGCGGGGAGGAAGGCGAUAAGGUUAAUAACCUUGUCGAUUGACGUUACCCGCAGAAGAAGCACCGGCUAACUCCGUGCCAGCAGCCGCGGUAAUACGGAGGGUGCAAGCGUUAAUCGGAAUUACUGGGCGUAAAGCGCACGCAGGCGGUCUGUCAAGUCGGAUGUGAAAUCCCCGGGCUUAACCUGGGAACUGCAUUAGAAACUGGCAGGCUAGAGUCUUGUAGAGUGGGGUAGAAUUCCAGGUGUAGCGGUGAAAUGCGUAGAGAUCUGGAGGAAUACCGGUGGCGAAGGCGGCCCCCUGGACAAAGACUGACGCUCAGGUGCGAAAGCGUGGGGAGCAAACAGG